rnacentral:rRNA from 1 species
CAGUAGCCACGGGAAUACAGAGGGCGCAAGCGUUAAUCGGAUUUACUGGGCGUAAAGGGCGCGUAGGUGGUUAUGUAAGUGAGAUGUGAAAUCCCCGGGCUCAACCUGGGAACUGCAUCUUAUACUGCGUAGCUGGAGUGCAGUAGAGGGUAGUGGAAUUUCCGGUGUAGCGGUGAAAUGCGUAGAUAUCGGAAGGAACACCAGUGGCGAAGGCGGCUACCUGGACUGACACUGACACUGAGGCGCGAAAGCGUGGGGAGCAAACGGGAUUAGAUACCCCCGUAGUCCCUGUCUCUUAUAC